UAGGGGAAAUCUUCCACAAUGGACGAAAGUCUGAUGGAGCAACGCCGCGUGAGUGAAGAAGGGUUUCGGCUCGUAAAGCUCUGUUGGUAGUGAAGAAAGAUAGAGGUAGUAACUGGCCUUUAUUUGACGGUAAUUACUUAGAAAGUCACGGCUAACUACGUGCC
rnacentral:rRNA from 1 species